UCUUCUGACAAGGAGAAGGGGUGGCCUUCUGCUGCCUGGGUGCCCUGCGCCAGGCUGCUCUCAAGUCAUGUCAGUGUCACCCAGCCACGGUGUCUGCCCAUUUGCCACCAGAAACAGGAACCAGAGUCCUGUGCUUUGUCCUUGUUGAUGCAUCCGUGAGGCUCGGGCUUGAUUUGAUUUUUCAAUCUGGUAAAAUCUGUAGCUCAGAUGUGACUGGGGCCUUUAUCCUACUGAAGAACCCUGCAGAGAUCCUGUGUGCAUGGUGGCUGCGACCCUUGCCACCCGGUCUCGCAGCGGCACGUUUCCUCUCGGAGGAGUAAUGAUCUGAUACAUGUAAGGGCAAGAUCUGGCAAGGAAGCCCGUGGACAGCAGUCCUCAGCCCGUCUGCCUGCACCCUGCUGGGGCAGCUCUGGCGCUGGGCAGUUUUUCCAGUCCCAGCAACCUGCCCCGACCUGGAAAUGGUGCCUUCCAUUCCUGCGGUGAGCUUGGCACCUGGGAGGUGGGGCCUCUGGCAUGUGCAUGCGGCUCACUGUGUUCGUCUGCGCCAUUGCUGGUUGGAAAAUGCAAAGUGGAUGUCCCCUCCCAACACGUGUUAAUUUCUACUUGGGUCAUGUCUUCUGAGGUAAGGCUCUGUGUUCCUGAAAAGUAGCACUUCACCGUGGGGUUGGGGUGCAGUCAGGGCUGCAGGAGCCUUGUGUGGAUUCCGAAGACACCUUGCCAGGUUAGCAGCCCAAUGGAGAAAGCUGUCAGACCAGCCCAGUCCCUGGUCAUGGGAGGUGACAAAGUAGAAGAAAAGGCAGUUUGACUCUCUUUGCUGCAGGCAUGGAGAAGCUCUGUUCUCAGUGGAGCUGUGCUGUGUCCAGGGCCAAAGAGGCCUCAUCUGGACUAAGGCCCAGGUCUGGCCCCGCCGAGGUCUGGCCUGGCUGUCAUGCUCUGUCCUGCAGAACAUUCCUGGCAAUUGAAUGCCUGGAUACUGUAGACAGAGCAUCCUGAAAUUAGAAGGGUACAGAAUUCCCUGCCUCCCUGCCAUAACUGAGAGCAAGCGAUGCUUACCCAAGUUGGACUUGGGGUUCUUUUAGGGUAAGGAAAGCGUGGUCUGCAGCUCUGCCCCCAUGUGCUUUGAGGAACCCUUUCUUUUCUGGUAGAUGUUUGCCAUGGACACAGGCCACAGCGGCACUUUAGAAUUUGCCCCAGACAGGUGGGUCUCGUCCAUCCUGGCUCGUCUUCCUCCGGCCUCGGGUGUUGCGUGUGGAUGAGUGAAGGCGUGAGCUCUCGGGAAGGGCAGAGGCCUGUUGUACCACGAGUCUAUGCGUCUCUUUUUCUGGAACUGCUCCCUGGGUAAAUUACCAUGAUCAGAGCCUCACUCUUAAAUACAGCUUCAAAGUACAUGGUGGGAAAUGCACUUAAUUACUUCACAUGGGCUUUCUCUGCCUGGCAUCUCCCAAAUGCCCUUUGAGAACUGCCGACUAAGGAAAGAAGCAGGCUCUCCUAGAUAGGCAGCCCAUUUCCUCGGCGUCGGCCCCAUUGGCCCGUGUGCCCUGCAGUUCAGGGAAGGUCCCAAAGAAGGAAAGUCCACCUUGUUAGAAGAGGGACCCCAAAGAGGGGAUGCCCCCUCCCUCUUCUGACCAGAAUUAACUUCUAAGGGGGAGUUCAGGGUUGAGCCUGGUUGGUCCCCAGCCCCUGGAAAUCACUAAUUUUGAGGGAAGACCAUGAACUCUGGUCAGAAUAGAGUGCCUUUUCUAGGGACCCAUUUAGCAACCUGAAAGACUUCAGGGCAGCUUGAGGGGGAACUGCUUUAAUGGAGACUUCCCAUUCCUAAAAGGCCGCUCUUCCUCCAAACCAAGAAAGGCACCUUCGUUCUCAGCCGCUGUAAUUCCUGGAGGGGUGGCGCUCUGGACGUGGGUCGGCUCGUGGAGCGGUGAGACCGAAGGUGGCCUGCAUGGGCUCUCAUGACGGCGCCUAUGGCGGCCCCGCUGGUGCCCCCUGGCAGAGCCAGUCCUGGCCCGGGGGCAGAGAGGUCGUUUCUCUUUCCUUUAUUCACAUCUCAUUUUGUGCUUCAAAUAAUUUGGGCCAAUGGCAGUUUGGGAGCCUGGCUGUUUGGGCUGGUGUCCUCCAGGGGUGGUGGACACUGUUGCACCCUGCUGCUCUCCAGAAGCGUGUCCCGCGUGAAUCCGCGUCCCCUGGCUCCUCACUGUAGCUCUGUCCCGGAGCCUGCCCCAGUCAUUCCCAGGGUGAGGCCAGAGUCCUGGCGGGACGCUGGCCCAGCCGCUGCGAGGCAUGUAGCGGAGCAGCCCGUUCUGGGGGCCACUCCCCGGGUGGGGGCCUCUGCCAGUGCUGUCGCUCCACACCAGCUCCUGGCUCCUCCCUGGGGAGGUGGGGUGCGUGGCUGGGGCGGUCCUGCCGGCUCUUCCUGACCAUCUCCAGGUGGGUCAGGGACCUGCAGGGUGAGGGCUGGGGAUUCAUGUCCCGCGUGUUCUGCUUUGAGGGUCCAGUGGGAGUCUGAGGAACCCCUUUAAAUGCACGGACCUCUCCAGCUCGCACCCCCGAGCCCCUCCUGCCAAGCAGUCUGCUCUGAUAGGAAGGGGCCUAGAGGCCAGGCCACCCCUCCAAUCCAUGUGAGGCAGCGUUGGGGGCCUGGGGACCACUGGCGGGGCAAAACCCCAGCACGUGUGUGCCGCCUGAGUGCUGUGGGACUGUCCUGGGUUGCACGACAAAGGGCCACUCGGGUUGGGUGGGGGAGGCUUCAAACAAGGGAAGCUAAGCUUGCUAUCUCCUGGUUCUGGAGGCCGGAGGUCCAGGAUGAGGGCGUGGGCAGGGAUGAGCCCCCUCUGGGGCUCGGAGGGAGGAGCCUCCUUGUCCCCACCCCUGGGCUCCCCCGAGUCCUCGGGCUCCUGGCGCACCCCUCCGGCCUCUGCCUGCCUCGGCACCAGGUCCCCUCCAGUCUUGCACUUUCUCUAUCUCUUGUAAGACGCUUGUCACAGGAUUCAGGGCCCAGCUGGAUGACCCAGCCAGACCUCACCCGGAGACCCUUCACUCAGUGACCUCUGUGAACCCCUAUUCCAAACGGGGUCACAUUCUGAGGUUCUGAAUGGAAUUAUCUUUGUGGGGUGGGGACUGUCAGCCCACUGCAACCUCCGCUUGUCACCACAUCUCCCUCUUCUGGCUGACCUCCCGCCUCCCUUAUAAGGACCCUGUGAGAACACAGGACCGACCAGGGCCACCCCCCAUCUCGAGGUCCUUAACCUCAUCACAUCUACAGAGUCCCUUUUGCCACAUGAGGUCACACAGGGCAUGGGCAUCUUUGGGGGCCACUGUUCUGACAACGUAGGUGUGUCCCAGCAGAUGGGAUAUGACUUUCUGACUUACUCAUUUUAACAGAUUUCAUUAGAAAAACAGCUGGAAGAGAGUAGAAUCCAGACCUUCGGGUUGAGUGGCUGCUUCAGAUCUAAAGCAGGAAAUUCUUUGCCUUUUCUGUGUUCAGCUUCCCAUGAAACUACUUAUUUGGUCCCUUGUAUCCUUUGUGCAGUUGGCAGCCAAAUGCCAGGCCUGGGUGUGGCCUCACCUGCCACUCAGGUGGGGUGUCCAUCAGGAAGCUAUUCCUGCAGCUUUGCCUCCUGAAAGCCUCGCCCCCCAGGAGUCAGAAGACAGCUUUGGAUCUCAGCGGGGUGUGCUGAGGAGGGGAGGCCGCUGCCCCCACACUUACCGCCCAACAGGGGCAGCUUGCCGGUUGCCGAGGCAGCUCUCCCCCUUUGGGUCGGUCUUGCAGGGCGCUUGCCUAGACCACAGAGGGCCUGCCUCUCUUACACCCUCACCCCUUGCACCCCCAUUCCAGUGCCACCCCCACCCCCACAUUCUUUAAUGCUGGUGACCGGUCCCUUCUCUGCUCUCAGCCUCAGUGGCGGCCCAGGAUGUGUCAAGUUCAACCUGAGCCCCUCCACCUGGCAUUCGAAGUCUGAUAGGGCCCUUCCCACUUCCCUGCCAUGUGCCAGCCAGGUAUGGGGGCCCCGGCAGGUGUGCACUGAGUUAAACUUGCGCCAGGCAGUCGAGGGGAAGGAAGGAGCACUUUCUGAGGCUGGACUGUGUUAGAUUGGUGUCACCAACCCUGUGACUCAUCGGAAAAUGGUGACACACUGAUCACCUGCCUCACAGGCUUGUCUCCCAGCAGAGGUGUCCUGAGUCCUGGGCUCCAGGUGGUGGGGCCAGCCGGCUGCGGUGGGUCCCCCGGCAGCGUGAGUGUCGUGGGUGUUACUCAGGGCAAGCCGGUGAAGCUUCAAAACAUGAAUCUACUUUUCCAGGCCACCUGCUUCAGUUUGGAUACCGCUUGCCUUGUUUGCUGUUUUGUUGAGAUGUUAAAAUGCCAGGGCAGCUGUUAGGAAAGUUAAAGGGGAAAAAUAGUUCCCUUUGAUAUAAUGGUUCUGGAAGCCUUGGGUAGGAAAACCUAGGACUGACCUUUUCUUGUGUAGAAGCAAUCACCCCAGGUAUCAGGGUGGAAAAUGUGGAUCUUCUAGAAAAUGCUUUGGGGUGUGUUAUGUAAGAAAUACCCGUUACUUCGCUGUUUUCAUGUUUUUCUUCAGCAGAUUCUCUGCCAUCACUCUUUUUGGAGCUUAAAUGCUUAAAGUUUGAAUUUCUUGGCAACUUCUCGGCCUUGGCUUGAACAACAUGCAGCCGCCUCUGCCGCCAGCACCGGCGUCAGCACCGGCGUCACUCGGCAGUGAAGAGCUUUGACCCUGCUAAUCAAACACAGUGCUGCCCAUCUGUGGUGUUUGCAUGGGACCACCAGAGUGCCUGCGGCUGCCCCCACCCCCAGGCUCCCAGAGGCGCCUGCUUUGUGGCCUGUCCUCCGUCUUCAGAGUGAGCUGAGUUGCAUCUCGGACCUGGCUUCCGCGCCGCAUCCCCCUGACUCCUCCCACCUCACUCAUCCAUUUACAGGGACCCCUGUGCUGACAUCGGGCCCACCUGGAUAAUCCAGGCCAACCCCCCCAUCUCUAGGCCCUUUACCCCAUCACACCUGUAAAGCCCCUUUGCCACAUAGGGCUGCGAAGUCGCAGGUUCCGGGCUCAGGAUGAGGACGUCCCCAGGGCCUGCUGUCUGCCUGCCUAGCCGUGAGUUAAUCCCGUCCAGUGCAGAGAAGUGGUGGGCCUCCUGCCCACUGCUGAGCUCUGCCUUUUCCCUGUGCUGUGUCUUACCCUCCGAACCCUGGGGAGUCGGUGCUGGCAGAGAACCCAGGGGAGCAAGGAGCUCCUGAGGCCUCAGGCUUCCAGGCGGCGUGAGGUGAAGCGCCCCCCACCUGUCCCAACGCCUUGGCGUGAUACUGGGUGCCUCUGAGGCUUGGGGGGUUAGCGCUGAGGGAUAUGGGCAGUCAGCCUCUUGGCUUAUCCUGGCCCCUUAUCCCCGAGUGUCUGCACCGGAACCUGGGCCCGCACUGGGCACGGCUGGGUCCCCGCCUCUGGGACCAGGCUCGUAGCCUGGGGUGGGGGCUGUGGCAAGGCCCUCCUCUGCAGGUUGGCCACGGACGCAUCCCGGUGCCCAGUCGGCACAACCACAAGGAAGGCGAGGCUUUUUCAGGCUCUCUUGCCCCGUGUUCCUCAUAAGCUGAAAAGGUGAAAACGCCCUUGCCGACCCGAUAGCCCUUCCUGUUCACCCAGGCGGCGGCGGCUGCUUGCCAGUGCAAGUGUUCCUGCUGCAGGAAAAGACAAGAAGGCAGUGGGUUGUUUUAAAUGUCACUUACUGUGGCCGUGGGGGCAGGAGGAUGCUCCUCGCCGGGGCACUAACAGUGCUGCAUGGGCACGUGCUUCCCCUGGGUUUGAGGAGCCUUUUCCCAGAGGGCUGUUGGCAGAAGGGCACUCAGACCCCACCAGGUGACGUGGUUAAUGUGGGGAAGCGACUGCAGCUUGGCCGUGUGUACAGCCUUACCUGCCCGCGUCUCAGGGCCUCCCGGGAGGUGGCUGCAGUGCCCACUCACAGACAGGAAACCGGGCACCGUGAGGGAACUGGGAGCCAUCCUGGGGCCUCGGAGAGCCUGCCUUUCAUGGAGACACAGUCGGGAAUGUCUGGCUAAAUCAGGGCUUCAUCUGGCUGUUCCCACCUCAGAGGUUCAGAGAACCCGGUGCUGUCCCCCUGUGGCUUCCCUCCCGCAGACCACGGGAGUGGUCCUGACACCUGGAGCCUGUCCUGAGUGGACAUGUGCCACCUAACACCUGGGGGAGGAGCCCUUUUCCACUUCAGCUCGUCGCAACCGCUCCUAAAUAAGCAAACCGUCUUCCGGUGGAUUUGGACAUGUGACCUGGUGGCAAAGUCCCCAGACAGGGUCUUAGGGGCUUUGGGCUGCUCAGCCAAGGCCCAGUGUGUCCCCACUGCCCUGGAGUACCUGUGAGCACACGGCUGCCACAGCCUGGUGGGUCAGCAGUUUCUGAGACAAACUGAAGUGAGCAAGAAUGCAGGCUGGGCUUGGGCUGGGGGUGCCCCCUCAGACAGCCCCCGAGGGCCCCAGGCCCAGGACCCAUGAGGUGAGCCACCUACACCUACCCUUCCAUGGUCCUGCCCCCAGCCUUGGGGGAGGGCAGAACGGUCUAGCACCCCAUCCCAUGAGGUCUUCGCCUUCAUGAGAGCCCCAUCCCAUGGGGGGGUCACACACUGGGCCUUCAGCCUCGCCCAGCCUCCAGGUGGUGCAGGGGCCUGUGGGCACCUGGUCCAGGCUCGGACACAAAGAAACAGCAGCACAAAGCAGAGCCGUGAGGAGCUGGUGGGAGGGCAUCACCUGUCUGAGCUGAGCCAUGGGGCUGAUGAUGUCCACCAGUGGCCCCACACAUGAUGGCCACUGUCCUCACCACCUUCCAGCUAUGCGUGCCUGCUCAGGGCAGGGCCACGGUGCUGUGGUUUGGCUGUGGAGAACCCUCCCCAGUGACCUCUGGCCACGUGAGCUGGGGGGUGGUCCCUAGAGCCCAGAUGCCAUUUGUUCUGCUAAAAGUCGCACGUGCCAGGCACACUCAGCCACAGAACAGGAUCACCUUUCUGAAGAUGUGUGUCAUUCAAAACAGGCUUUCCAUUUGGGGCCCACAGGGCACUUCAGGGGUCUACUGACCCCCUAAAGUCAUAAGCAAAAUUCAUCUGUUACAUUUUUCUAGGAGAGAGCCCAGGGCAGUAAGUCAGGAUUGCAGGAAAUGUGUUUGUGCCUCCCCUAGUCUACCCUGCGUGCCCU